CGGGAGAUGCCUCUUGCAUAAUGAACAUUUUGAAUUAGUGACUCUUUGUUGUUAUUGUUUUGUCAUACACUCUCCUGCAGAUUGGCCGACGGAUCCAUUUUCCAUUAAUAUUCUGGGCUUCAUUAAAGAUUGACACAGAGUGAUAAUUGGAGCAUAAUCUCCCCACUGAAGUUCCACUCAUAGCUGUUGGCAAUAAGAGACGCAACACGUCAGAUCCAACACGUCAUUUCGCAAAAGAAUCCAUUCAAACGUAGCCGAAUACCCUGGAGGUCAACUUCCUUGACGACAUUUCCCAGCCUUGAAUACGCCAGAAGACUGGACUACAACUUCCAUCAUCCUGAAUCAUCUUGGGGACAACCCAACACAUCUGGGUACCACUUGACUCAAAAGAGGCUCCUUUGUAAAUUUUCCUUUCGCCUAUUUGGGUUAUUGCGAAAAAUUAUUGGCGCCUCCCUUUGGCUUGCUCUGAAGAAAAAAGCAUUUUAAAAAAUCUCUAGUUUAAAGAUGUCAACGAUUUUGGAAAGCGUCGACAUAUUGUGUGGCAUCCUGCUUGGCUGAAAGCCUUUUGUGCACUGCUGAAGUUAAGCAAAGUGAGAGAAUGUGAUCAGGAAACACGGUUUGAUCUUUGGCGUGUAUAAAUCUCCAUCCUGAUCGCUGCCAAAUGUUUGGAUCACCAGAAUUUCCUGUACAAAAAAAAUGUUGUGGCUUCCAGUAACACACAAGGGGGACCUUCCCUCUUCCACCUAAUCAGGCCCACUAUUGUUCUCCAGAUAAGGACAUCUAGACUAAUUUUAGGAUGUUCUUAGCUCAAAGUUUUUAUUUCUCCCAAAUGGCCUCUGGUCUUGCCAAGUUCCCUACAUUUUUAUAGCCUAAAAUAAAAAUCCUUCGUCUGA